rnacentral:rRNA from 1 species
GUAGGUGGCAAGCGUUGUCCGGAAUUAUUGGGCGUAAAGCGCGCGCAGGCGGUCCUUUAAGUCUGAUGUGAAAGCCCACGGGCUCAACCGUGGAGGGUCAUUGGAAACUGGGGGACUUGAGUACAGAAGAGGAAAGCGGAAUUCCAAGUGUAGCGGUGAAAUGCGUAGAGAUUUGGAGGAACACCAGUGGCGAAGGCGGCUUUCUGGUCUGUAACUGACGCUGAGGCGCGAAAGCGUGGGGAGCAAACAGGAUUAGAUACCCUGGUAGUCCACGCCGUAAACGAUGAGUGCUAAGUGUUAGGGGGUUUCCGCCCUUUAGUGCUGCAGCUAACGCAUUAAGCACUCCGCCUGGGGAGUACGGCCGCAAAGGCUGA